ACUACUUUCAGUUGAUUUCAACUAGUUUUUUCAUAUUCCGAACCCACAGCAGUACCCAGCAGUGUCGGUGCAUCGCCCCAGUAGCAAUCGGCAAAUUUUGAUUUAACUACUUUCAAUUGAUUUCAACUAGGUUUUUCAUAUUCCGGACCACCAGCAGUACCCAGCAGUGUCGGUGCAUCGCCCUAGUAGCAAUCGGCAAAAGAGUGGUCAUUAUAUUUAUUUGUAUUGAAAGUGACUUGAUGACAGAAAAAUGAAAACUGCAAUUUUAGAGGAAGCAGCUUGUUUGGCAGGUGCGCAGAUGGUGGCAAUGAUUGCAGAGGUAACGAAAACUUAUUCUCAACGCGAGAAAGUGGAUCCGUUUUUGCAGGAAAGAUGUACACAGGGGCGUUUUGCAAAGGAUUUUGAAGAUCUCGUUAGCAGUGAAAGCAGAUUUUUCACAUGGACCUGAGAAGUUUCAACGAGUUGUACGCGCUAGUUUAGGGAUGUUUGAAACGCCACCGCUGACGUCACGACAUAACACGUUCUAACAUGCAGCGAAUGCGUUACAGAUACAACCAGUAUCAGGCAGCGAGCCAAAUGGAAUUUCCCAAAAUAAAACAAAGAUAAACAUGAAACAAUAGACAAAUACUAGUAAACAAGCUGAACAACAGAUAAAGACUAGUAAACAAACUAAACAAAUGACAAAUACUAGUAAACAAGCUGAACAACAGAUAAAGACUAGUAACCAACUAGCAAUAGAAUUUUCCACUGCGAUAACCACCGCCGCAUUUCAAUAGUAUAAAUAGACCUAAAAAUUUAAAAUGUAGAGCAGUCUUAAGAAUAUGUAAAUAAAGAAAGCACGCUAACCGUGCAGAGAAAACAUAUAUUUUUUGAACUCAUAUCGUGUAAACGAUAUUAACUGGGGGCUCAACCGGGAUCACAAUAAGUUUUGUCAUCUAAAACCAAAAUCCUUGAAAUACAGGAAACCAUAAAUUCCACGGUCUUGAAGAAAGAAAAAAACAGUUUCUGGAAAAGUAAAAUAACACAACCAUUCCUAAAAAACGGAACAAUAAAAAAUUUCGAAGAAGUCCAUGCGAUUCCUAUCUUAUAAUUCUACCAAACGACUACGAAGUGCUAACAAACCCCAUUUCUCCUCUUUAAGAUAUCAAAGAAGUGGAGACACAACAAAUAUGGCCGAAGAAGCACAACUAAGAGCACAAAUUGAUGCCUUAACACAACAGUUCCAACAACAAACCCUGCAAGUAAAUGCCCUGCAACAGGUGCCUAGUACUGUAAAAGAAAACCAAAGCGCCUUCCACAAUAUCACCACCAAUACAGAACACGAGGAGAUCCCUCUUGCAAUAACAAAUGCCAACGAAAUCGAUUUGGAGCUAUUCAAAGCUUUACCCAAGUUUGAAGGGGGAAAUAAACGCGUAUCGUUCAUGGAGAUCACAAGUCUGGAAGUUUACGGAUGACAUCAAAGCGUUCACAGGACAACCUAGAUAUUAUAGUGCAGUGGGGAUCAUCCGUAUAAAAGUGAUAGGAACAGCAGCCGACAUACUUAGCAAUCACAACACUAAUUAUAGGUUUUCGUUUAUGUGUUAUUAGACGAGAUGAAAAAAAUUUAUCAAGGAAGAAAGAAUUUAUCCGAAUACCAUAGCGAAAUUGAUAAAACACUUAACUUUACGCUUUCAAAAAUUUAAAUGUCUCAUGAGCAAAACGAUGAAGCCAUGAAAACAUAUGCAAGCCAAGAAGCUGUUCGUACAUUCAUUAUGGGACUGAAUAGCAGAUACACAAGUGGAACCUUGUACAGCCAAAACCCAAGAGACGUAGGGCAUGCGUAUGCUAUUGCCAGCACAAUUCACCACGAUAACCAUAAUCAGCAAUUUGAAAUGCAACCAAGAUAUGCCCAACAAACAAGAAGCCACCCGCAACCAGGGUAUGUCCAACAAACAAGAAGCCACCCAGGAGAAGAACGCUUCCCUUAACGAAAUGAACGCCCAACAUAUAAUCCAGGGAUACAUGUGCAACGCAACAAAUUUAUUCCACACAACGACCGUUUAAAUAAACCGAUACCUAUAGAAGUGGACAGCUCUAGGCAGUUUAUGCGGCAUACUCAACACCAACAGGGAUAUCAGAAUCCUUUCAAAAGGGAAAGAAACCCAUCCUCACACAACUUCAAUCAAUACAAGCAGCAGAGGAUCAACCAAACUCAUCAAACUGAAGCCGAAUCUACCACAUCUCAUUUCGAGGAACAGUACGAGACCGGAAGUACUUUUUUAGGCGAGUGAACGGGCUGCCCUGCAUUCAAACAAAGUGCGGUCUUACAGGGACACCCGUUACUAUUUUAAUAGACACAAGAUCUACGAACAAUUAUAUAAGUAUCAACUGUAACAUUGGUAAGUCAGUACCUAUUAAACCUAUAAAAACAAAAACUAUGCACGGAUAUUCAUUAUUGAAAUCUAAAAAAAUUAUAGCUUUGUUUAGUC